AGGCCGCCGCCGCAGCGCUGCACACAACGGUGACGCGGCGAGGAGCGCGCGCGCGGAGGGGGGGUGCCCGGCGAACGGUGAGGAGGGGACGGGAAAUGGCGGCGAAGGGGGAGGAGGAGGCGGUGCAAGCGGGGAGGUGGAGGAAGGUAGCGGUGGGAGCGAGGGAGAGGAGGGUGAUGGACGCCAUGCCGGAGGAGCGCGCCUGGCGCACCGAGCCUGGGAAUUGGGAGAUAAGAUGGAGAU
rnacentral:lncRNA from 1 species